rnacentral:rRNA from 1 species
UACGUAGGGUGCGAGCGUUAAUCGGAAUUACUGGGCGUAAAGCGUGCGCAGGCGGUUCGUGAUGUCUGGUGUGAAAGCCCCGGGCUUAACCUGGGGAAUUGCAUUGGAAACUAGCGGGCUGGAGUGUGGCAGAGGGGGGUGGAAUUCCGACGUGUAGCAGGUGAAAUGCGUAGAGAUGUGGAGGAACACCGAUGGCGAAGGCAGCCCCCUGGGCUAACACUGACGCUCAUGCACGAAGCGUGGGGAGCAAACAGG